UCUCCCCCUUCAGGCAGUCUGUCCAUCUGCCAGCUGUGCUCACCAGGUGGCUCCUGGAGGCCUGGAGUGGCCUGCGUGGGGUGCCGUGUCCUGGGGCCUGUUUGGGGCUUUCAGACUGGAGAAGGAUUGACCCAGACUGGAGAAGGAUUGACCCAUUUUAUUUUAUGAGUAUCCUGCUGGUGCUUUCCAUUGGUCAUAACCAACCAGAAGUCAGAAGACACAGAGGCCUGGUGAUAAAGCACAUAUAAGCCAACCCCCUGGGGAAGAGACCAAGGUGAAGAAAGGAGAAUAGAUCUGGAGGAAAAUUGAAGACAUCUGGGGCAAAGGAUAAGAUGCUAUUUACAGCCACAGAAUGAGACGACCUAGGAAAAAGAAUGCAGUCGUUUCCAGAAGCAAACCUUGAGAAGAAAUGCUGUAUCAAAAGGGGAAUACAGAGAGCUAGACCAUCAGAGGCCAUCUAAGAAUACCACUCUCAUGUGUACUGAAAAGAUGCUAUGAUGCUUGGGAAUAAAGUGGAAGUUCAGCACUUCGGAGGCUGGCCUGACUCACACAUGGCUCCAUCGCCGCCUUUGACCCUCUCCACUCACAGCUGCCAAAUCAAGUCAUUUCAGGUCAGCUUUCUUCUUUCUUUCCUUUCUUCUUUUCUGCACUCCUUCCUUCCUUCCUCCACUCCUUCCUUCCUUCUUUCUUUACUUUUUAAUCUUUUGAAAGUUGAUUCACAGAAUAAUUCAGCAAAUUAUUUUGUGACGCAAGCUAUUAAGAUGUCUGAAACAUCAUCAAAUCAAUCAGUUUUCAAGAUUGGCUUCUGACUGCAUGGAUGUUGUUCCUCUAUGUCUCUGUGGCAGGUAGAAUUCUAAAAUGGUCCCAAAAUUCCUGCACUUUGGUGUGUAAUCCCUAUAUAAUCCCCUCCCUUUGAGCGAGAACAGGAUUUUUGAAUAUGAUGGGAUAUCGCUCCCAUAAUUAUGUUACGUUAUAUGACAGAAAGGAUUUUGCAGGUGUAAAUAAGAGCCUUAAUCAGCUGACUUUGAGUUAAUCAAAGUAGAAAUUACCCAGGGUGGGACUGACCUAAUCAGGGGAGACCUGAGAAGAGGUCAGAGAGAUUUCUUCUGUUGGCCUUGCAGAAACAAACAGCAAUGUUGAGAACUGCUUAUGGAAGUGGCCAUGUGAAAGGACCUGAGGGUGUCAUCUAAGAUUUAAGAGCUGUCUCCAACCAACAGCCAGCAAGAAGCCAUGGACUUCACCUCCACAAUUGCAAGGAACUGAAUUCUUCCAACAGCCAGUCAGAUUGAAAGGGGACUCCAAGCCUCAUAUGUAAUUUCAGCCCCAACUGACACUUUGAUUUCAGCCUGAUGAGACCAGAAGCAGAGGACUCGGCUUACCCAAACCAAAACUCCUGAGCCACAGAAACUGUCAGAUAAUAAAUGUGUGCUGCUUUA